GGGUGGGCGGGUCUCCGUCAAACAUCAGUAUCAAACGUACAAAAGACGAAAGGGAGUUGCCUCCAGAAAGAAAAGCCCAAACCGGGUUGGAAACAGACCGGUAGGACUCAGGAGGUGAGAAGGCUGCCGCAGCUGCCGCGGCCCGCGAAACCACUGCCCGCCGCGGGCCGCCAGGCUCUACCUCCAGAAAACCCUCCCCCUUCAGGGCCCGGCGCAAGAUGGUGGCCCACCAGCUACCACGCCGCCAAGCCUGUCCCCUCCCCCGCACCCCCGUCGAUCCGCACCGGCAUAGAGACCCUCAGCCCGCCGCCCUCAGAACCGCCCUCUGGGGAAGGCUGCCUCGGCCGCGCGGGAGAGCUGCAGCCUGCUUCCGCGCGGCACAGGCGGGGGCGGGGGCCGCUUACCGAGAGCAGAGCAGAUCGGCCUGACUGGGGUUCGGAUAAGGAGGAGGAGAAAGAGGAGGAGGAAAGGGAGGAGCGCGAAAACCUCGGGCGACAGCCUCAGCAACAGCUACUCCCGCAGAGACUUCCAGCGCGGAACCCCAGUCAGGCCCAGUCAGCCUGACCAACAUAGUGAAACCCCAUCUCUACUAAAAAUGCAAAAUUAGCUGGGCGUGGUGGUGCAUGCCUGUAAUCCCAGCUACUUGGGAGGCUGAGGCGGGAGAAUCACUGGAACUUGUAAAUAUGUUUACAGGAAAAGCACUUGCCAAAAUACUGUUUACAGAAACAUUUUCUAGACACUGCUUUGAACUGUUAAAAGUUUCUUCUCCCAACUUUCUCUUCAAGGUUUAUAGCAGUACUGGUUCAUCUCUCUCUCUCUUUUUUUUUUUUUGAGAGUUUCUCUCUUGUUGCCCGGGCCGGAGUCCAAUGGCGCGAUCUCGGCUCACCGCAACCUCUGCCUCCCGGGUUCAAACGAUUCUCCUGCCUCAGCCUCCUGAGUAGCUGGGAUUACAGGCAUGCACCACCAUGCCCGGCUAAUUUUGUAUUUUCAGUAGAGACGGGGUUUCUCCAUGUUGGUCAGGCUAGUCUGAAACUCCCCACCUCAGGUGAUCCCCUUGCUUCGGCCUCCCAAAGUGCUGGGAUUACAGGCGUAAUGCCUGGCCCGAUUCAUCUCUUAAGAGUUGCCCAGACUGAAAAUAUCGUGUGACUCACAUAAUACACGCAUAAAUCCAGUCACUGAAUCCUUUUUUUUUUUUUUUUUUUUGAGCUAGUUUCUUCUUUCUUAUCGAUACAGCUAUUUGCUUCUGACCCUGAAAGUAAGCUUUACAGGAGAAGACAGAGAAUAAUCAAAAUAAACAAAAAAGUGAAAAGUCCCAAAAUCUUGGGGCAUGCAUAGUUGGUCCCUGCUUCCAGUCAGGGUGAUAAGUAAGUCCGGCCACCUUUUCCUUGAUGCCAGCAGAUUUAACAUUAGGAAGUCUACAGCCCGCAUGACUCUGCCUCUGGCUCUAGCAGGAAAUUUAAAACCUGUAAUUCUCCAGCCUGCCUCCUUCUUUGGUAUUGGCGGGAAAUUUAAAACUGGCAGCAAAAAUUGGCGCAGCUGAGAAAUUUAAAACUUGCAAAUCUGCAGCCUGUGCGGCAUUUUCACCAGUCCCACUUCCAAUAUGUUAUAAAGGCCCAUCCAACUUCCUCUGCCUCUCUCAAACCAGCCCAGACCUGUUUGCAGCACCCACCCCUCCUCACUUACCCCCACUAGUCCCCAGAGUAAUAAAAUUUCUCUCAAAUUCUCUUGGUAUAUCUAGUGUCAUGAGUGUCCACAUCCGACCUAAAAUUAGGAGGAGGAAUG
ensembl:lncRNA